rnacentral:rRNA from 1 species
UGGGGAAUAUUGCACAAUGGGCGAAAGCCUGAUGCAGCGACGCCGCGUGCGGGAUGAAGGCCUUCGGGUUGUAAACCGCUUUUAAUUGGGAGCAAGCGAGAGUGAGUGUACCUUUUGAAUAAGCACCGGCUAACUACGUGCCAGCAGCCGCGGUAAUACGUAGGGUGCAAGCGUUAUCCGGAAUUAUUGGGCGUAAAGAGCUCGUAGGCGGUUUGUCACGCCUGGUGUGAAAGUCCAUCGCUUAACGGUGGAUCUGCGCCGGGUACGGGCAGGCUAGAGUGCAGUAGGGGAGAUUGGAAUUCCCGGUGUAACGGUGGAAUGUGUAGAUAUCGGGAAGAACACCAAUGGCGAAGGCAGAUCUCUGGGCUGUUACUGACGCUGAGGAGCGAAAGCAUGGGGAGCGAACAGGAUUAGAUACCCGUGGUAGUCCAUGCCGUAAACGGUGGAUGCUGGAUGUGGGACCCUUCCACGGGUUCCGUGUCGGAGCUAACGCGUUAAGCAUCCCGCCUGGGGAGUACGGCCGCAAGGCUAAAACUCUAAAGUGAAUU